GGGAGCUAAGACAACCCAAGAUAACUUGGCUCUGGGCCUCCAACAUGCUAACUCCGCAGUCUACCAGGCCCAGCAGAGCCAUCAAGAUGACUAAAGGUGUUUCCUGAUAAGCCUGACAGCCUUGGUUGGAUCUCAGGACUCACAUGGUAGAAGGAGAGAACUGAUCUUUGCAAACUGCCUACUAACCUCCACAUGUGGUGCACACAUGCAUAAAUUCAUAAAUAAAUUAAAUGAAAAACAAAAGUCAACUGAAAAGUAACUCAAGAAUAAACCUGCCAUCUUCUGUCUUUCAACUUGUCACAGUGUUUCCAUUUGCUGUGUGAUGUCAUUUCAAGUA
rnacentral:lncRNA from 1 species